rnacentral:rRNA from 1 species
ACCAUCCACGGGGCGCAGCAGUGGGGAAUAUUGCACAAUGGGGGAAACCCUGAUGCAGCGACGCCGCGUGAGUGAAGAAGUAUCUCGGUACGUAAAGCUCUAUCAGCAGGGAAGAAAAUGACGGUACCUGACUAAGAAGCCCCGGCUAACUACGUGCCAGCAGCCGCGGUAAUACGUAGGGGGCAAGCGUUAUCCGGAUUUACUGGGUGUAAAGGGAGCGUAGACGGCUGGCCAAGUCUGAAGUGAAAGCCCGGGGCUUAACCCCGGAACGGCUUUGGAAACUGGCCGGCUGGAGUGCUGGAGAG